AGGUACUAUCCAGUAUUAUCAGGUACUAUCUAGGUGCUAUCCAGGUAUUAUCAUGUACUAUCCAGUUGCUAUCCAGGUAUUAUCAGGCACUA